CAACCCAGGUGUGUCAAGUUGACACUAAAGCUAUCCAGCACAGACCCCGAGUGGGACAAGAUGGCCCUUUGCCAACCCUGAGGGGUGAGACAGAGCAGCGAACUGGGGCAAACCAGGCGGUGAGCGGCUGCCUGUGAAAGGCUGAUGCUGACUGCAGGCAGGAGGCAGGUGGUGUACACCUCAAACAUGGGAAAGAAAAGCCUAUGCCCCAAAUGUCACAUAAACUAUGCAAAACCCAAAUAAAAGGUAUUCUGUCGGUUUGUGAGCCCUGGGGCCUCAGAGGGUGCUGGUGCAGGUCUCCCAAGAAGGGGGAGGAGAAAAUAUGGUGAAAUAUCAGAGCAAGGAAUAUGGGAAUUCCACUUUCUGUUUAGAGAGGUGACUGUAGAUUGGGUUACGUGUGAGGUGAAUUUGGGCUCAUUGUGAGACUGCAAGGAUGAGGGCAAGCUGAGUCUGGUAAUAAUUUCUGUAAUGAGUAUGGAGGAGAAUGUGGAGGUUCAUUUGUUGGAUGUGGGGAAAGCCUCCACCCAGCCUGACCUGAAAAGGUGUCUCCCAGCACAAGGAAGUGUUCGAGGUUUGUGAGAGUGGGCAUGUGAAUGAAGUCCAGUCAGCACCCAAUAGGGCACCUCUGGCCUAGUGAGUGGGAAAAGGGAAUGGGGGCUUAAGUUGGUAUUAGGGUUGGUUCCUUGACAGGUGAUACAAUUGACUGUAGCGUUUUUGUUGUUGUUGUUGUUGUUUGGGUUUUGUUGUUGUUUCUUUUUUUUAGCAGGUGGUGAUCUUCUGGGAGGAGAAAAGAUGGGUCUGCAACAAUUGGGUGAGGGAGGGGGAUAUGUUAGUAUGGAAAAGAGCAUAGAGAUUUCAGAGGGUCUGAAAGCAGCAGGACCUGGGAAGGAGGAAGUGGUUAUUGGUGAAUCACCAUUACUCCUGUAGCAGACCCCAUUUCUGCUUCAUGAAUUCCUGUCCUUUUUGGGAAUGAAGAAAGGAGAGCCAAACCCACAGGUCUCCAAUCAAUCACACUUCCACAGGAGUAUUAGCAAGAACUCGGACUUCUGGGCCUCUGCAUUGUUCCCAAUUAGCUUUCAGGAAGUCUCUGAAACUGACAAGAUUUCCCAAUUGUAUUUAAACAUUGAGGACUGCUGAGACACCUAGAAGCAGCCCAGACCAGCUUGAUGCCUAAAAGAGACUCUUCAAUCUCUCGAGAUGUCUGAAAGCUGUGCAGUGUGCUCCAGAUUUCCAGCUUUC